GUCGCUCGGUGGAUAGAGCAGCCCCGCAUACGCUGAGGUGUUGCGGGGUUGGUCGCAGGUUCGGCCUGUCCCGUACGAAGAUGCGGGAUUCCUGCCGGGGGUACCA
rnacentral:tRNA from 1 species